GACUCAGGGGUGUGGCCUCCCAUUGUUCAGGGUAAGUUCAUAAGACAGUGCCUCUGAGAGCUCUGGACCAGACCACCACAAGGCAUCAGGAUGGUGAAAGCAACUGAGAAGAUGCACAAUCUGUUACAGGAUGUUGAGCCAUCAACCACAACAUCCAAACCCAAGAGAAGAAUGUUGCUGUCAUCAGUCCUGGUCCAAAUGUAGCAAGAAGAUUAGAAGGUCCAAGGUAAGCAUAGUGCCUACCACGAAGAGCAAGAAAACCCUGCGAAGGAUGCUGAAAAGAAAGACAUCUGCAAACAAUACACCUAAAAAGG
rnacentral:lncRNA from 1 species